GUUUAUAAAAAACAUUGGUCUUGUAAACCAAAGACUGAAGAUUGUCCCCCUUCUUAGAGUU
rnacentral:tRNA from 1 species